GAAAUACAUUUAAGCUUAUUAACUUAACUGCUAAUUUUGGGAAAUAACUGGAAUUUCAAAUUUUAGGCCAAAAGUGCAACAUUUAAAAGAUUUUCCAUCUCAAAUAUUUUUCCCAGCCUUACUGUUUUGAUCUAACGUUUGACAUUCCCUGCCAACAAUUAAUGGUUUAAUGAGUAAUCGAGCCAUGAAUAAACAUUGACAGCUAACUAAGGUCCAAACACAAUAGUAAUAGACAUGGGCAGUUAUUGGUAUAUGAACACAACCACAUACAGUCUAUACAAAUUACGCUGAUUACUAAGCAUGAUGUCAAACAUUGGGGGGCAGCAGCGUAUCAGCACUUUCUGGGUGCACUACAGGUGCAUGUGAAAUAAUGGAAGAGCUCCCACACUGACACCUCUGGGUGUGUGAAUAUGUCUGUGUAUAUCUGAG